rnacentral:ribozyme from 1 species
CGGUAAACAUACACACCGGAACAAUGGCCGGAUUUGUCAGGAAGAUCAGCGAAGUCUUCAUAUCUGGUGGAGACGAUGCUCGUGGAUUGGAAGACGUUGUACGAGCUGCCUGUGGAUUAUUGGGCGAUAUU